rnacentral:rRNA from 1 species
GAUGAACGCUGGCGGCGUGCCUAAUACAUGCAAGUCGAGCGAACAGACGAGGGGCUUGCUCCUCUGACGUUAGCGGCGGACGGGUGAGUAACACGUGGAUAACCUACCUAUAAGACUGGGAUAACUUCGGGAAACCGGAGCUAAUACCGGAUAAUAUAUUGAACCGCAUGGUUCAAUAGUGAAAGCGGGUUUUGCUGUCACUUAAAGAUGGAUCCGCGCCGCAUUAGCUAGUUGGUAAGGUAACGGCUUACCAAGGCAACGAUGCGUAGCCGACCUGAGAGGGUGAUCGGCCACACUGGAACUGAGACACGGUCCAGACUCCUACGGGAGGCAGCAGUAGGGAAUCUUCCGCAAUGGGCGAAAGCCUGACGGAGCAACGCCGCGUGAGUGAUGAAGGUCUUCGGAUCGUAAAACUCUGUUAUUAGGGAAGAACAAAUGUGUAAGUAACUAUGCACGUCUUGACGGUACCUAAUCAGAAAGCCACGGCUAACUACGUG